rnacentral:snRNA from 1 species
GAACCAACUUCUGUGGGUCAUUCGUUAAAAAUUGGGAACGAUACCAGAGAAGGAUUAGCAUGGGCCCUGCGCCAAGGAUGACACGCAUAAAUCGAGAAAGUAUCGCAACUUUU